rnacentral:rRNA from 1 species
GACAGAGGCCUCGAGCGUUAGGCGGAAUCACUGGGCUUAAAGCGUGUGUAGGCGGGCCCGUCAGUACCUUGUGAAAUCCCACGGCUCAACCGUGGAACCGCUGGGUAUACUGCGGGUCUUGGGCCGACUAGGGGCAGCCGGAACAAGCGGUGGAGCGGUGAGAUGCGUAGAUAUCGCUUGGAACGCCGAAGGUGAAAACAGGCUGCUGGGGUCGCGCCGACGCUGAGACACGAAAGCCAGGGGAGCAAACGGG